rnacentral:misc_RNA from 1 species
CUGGCACCGUGCAAGCAAAGGUGCCCCUGAACAGAUCUUGAACUUGAGCAAUGCAAGGGAAGAUCUCAGGAAGAAAGUUCAUUCUGUUAUAGACAAGUUUGCUGAACGUGGGCUUCGGUCAUUGGGUGUGGCUAGACAGCAAGUGCCUGAGAAAUCAAAGGAAAGUGCAGGUGGUCCAUGGGAGUUUGUUGGUCUGUUGAACCUCUUUGAUCCUCCUAGGCAUGAUAGUGCAGAAACUAUCCGCAGGGCUCUUAACCUUGGUGUGAAUGUCAAGAUGAUUACUGGUGAUCAGCUUGCCAUCGCAAAGGAGACCGGGCGAAGACUUGGAAUGGGAACAAACAUGUAU